GAACUUCUGUCACUAAUGUAUCUCUCAUUUCCGCAAAGUUUUACUCUUUUAACAAGUUACCUUAAUUAAAGCGGUCAAGACUUAUACUUAGCUUUUAGCCACCAUUUUCGAAUUUCCAGGUGAAGCUUACUUGCUAGAAUUGCCUUGUAUUUGGAUGACAUUGAGCCUAGUUGAAGGGCCAUUGUGUUAAGAUUGUUUAUGUGCGAAUUUGGGCUGGG
rnacentral:lncRNA from 1 species